rnacentral:ncRNA from 1 species
GAUCCGAAAUAUGGCGAUCAACACCAGGUCGGAACGAAAGCCAAAAGAAACUCUGAUCGAAGUUCGAAGUGCCACUGAUGUGCAAACUGAUCGUUGGAAACGAGUGUAGAGGCGAAAGACCAAUCGAGCCGUGUAGUAGCUGG